rnacentral:rRNA from 1 species
CGGGUGAGUAACGCGUGGAUAACCUGCCUCACACAGGGGGAUAACAGGUUAGAAAUGACUGCUAAUACCGCAUAAGCGCACAGUCUCGCAUGGGACAGUGUGAAAAACUGAGGUGGUGUGAGAUGGAUCCGCGUCUGAUUAGGCAGUUGGCGGGGUAACGGCCCACCAAACCGACGAUCAGUAGCCGGCCUGAGAGGGUGAACCGGCCACAUUGGGACUGAGACACGGCCCAAACUCCUACGGAAGGCAGCAG